rnacentral:rRNA from 1 species
AUGAACGCUAGCUACAGGCUUAACACAUGCAAGUCGAGGGGCAGCAUGGUCUUAGCUUGCUAAGGCCGAUGGCGACCGGCGCACGGGUGAGUAACACGUAUCCAACCUGCCGUCUACUCUUGGACAGCCUUCUGAAAGGAAGAUUAAUACAAGAUGGCAUCAUGAGUCCGCAUGUUCACAUGAUUAAAGGUAUUCCGGUAGACGAUGGGGAUGCGUUCCAUUAGAUAGUAGGCGGGGUAACAGCCCACCUAGUCUUCGAUGGAUAGGGGUUCUGAGAGGAAGGUCCCCCACAUUGGAACUGAGACACGGUCCAAACUCCUACGGGAGGCAGCAGUGAGGAAUAUUGGUCAAUGGGCGAGAGCCUGAACCAGCCAAGUAGCGUGAAGGAUGACUGCCCUAUGGGUUGUAAACUUCUUUUGUAAAGGAAUAAAGUCGGGUAUGGAUACCCGUUUGCAUGUACUUUAUGAAUAAGGAUCGGCUAACUCCGUGCCAGCAGCCGCGGUAAUACGGAGGAUCCGAGCGUUAUCCGGAUUUAUUGGGUUUAAAGGGAGCGUAGAUGGAUGUUUAAGUCAGUUGUGAAAGUUUGCGGCUCAACCGUAAAAUUGCAGUUGAUACUGGAUAUCUUGAGUGCAGUUGAGGCAGGCGGAAUUCGUGGUGUAGCGGUGAAAUGCUUAGAUAUCACGAAGAACUCCGAUUGCGAAGGCAGCCUGCUAAGCUGCAACUGACAUUGAGGCUCGAAAGUGUGGGUAUCAAACAGGAUUAGAUACCCUGGUAGUCCACACGGUAAACGAUGAAUACUCGCUGUUUGCGAUAUACUGCAAGCGGCCAAGCGAAAGCGUUAAGUAUUCCACCUGGGGAGUACGCCGGCAACGGUGAAACUCAAAGGAAUUGACGGGGGCCCGCACAAGCGGAGGAACAUGUGGUUUAAUUCGAUGAUACGCGAGGAACCUUACCCGGGCUUAAAUUGCAGAUGAAUUACGGUGAAAGCCGUAAGCCGCAAGGCAUCUGUGAAGGUGCUGCAUGGUUGUCGUCAGCUCGUGCCGUGAGGUGUCGGCUUAAGUGCCAUAACGAGCGCAACCCUUGUUGUCAGUUACUAACAGGUUCCGCUGAGGACUCUGACAAGACUGCCAUCGUAAGAUGUGAGGAAGGUGGGGAUGACGUCAAAUCAGCACGGCCCUUACGUCCGGGGCUACACACGUGUUACAAUGGGGGGUACAGAGGGCCGCUACCACGCGAGUGGAUGCCAAUCCCCAAAACCUCUCUCAGUUCGGACUGGAGUCUGCAACCCGACUCCAUGAAGCUGGAUUCGCUAGUAAUCGCGCAUCAGCCACGGCGCGGUGAAUACGUUCCCGGGCCUUGUACACACCGCCCGUCAAGCCAUGGGAGCCGGGGGUACCUGAAGUGCGUAACCGCGAGGAGCGCCCUAGGGUAAAACUGGUGACUGGGGCU